UAGGGAAUAUUGGGCAAUGGGCGAGAGCCUGACCCAGCCAUGCCGCGUGCAGGAAGAAGGCUUUUUGAGUCGUAAACUGCUUUUGACAGGGAAGAAUAAGGCUUACGUGUAAGCUGAUGACGGUACCUGCAGAAUA
rnacentral:rRNA from 1 species